rnacentral:rRNA from 1 species
AGGGAAUCUUCGGCAAUGGACGCAAGUCUGACCGAGCAACGCCGCGUGAGUGAGGAAGGGUUUCGGCUCGUAAAACUCUGUUGCCAGGGAAGAACGCAUGAGAGAGUAACUGCUCUUGUGGUGACGGUACCUGAGAAGAAAGCCCCGGCUAACUACGUGCCAGCAGCCGCGGUAAUACGUAGGGGGCAAGCGUUGUCCGGAAUUAUUGGGCGUAAAGCGCGCGCAGGCGGUUGUUUAAGUCUUGUGUUUAACCCGCGGGCUCAACCCGUGGUCGCAUAGGAAACUGGGCAACUGGAGUACAGGAGAGGAAAGUGGAAUUCCACGUGUAGCGGUGAAAUGCGUAGAGAUGUGGAGGAACACCAGUGGCGAAGGCGACUUUCUGGCCUGAAACUGACGCUGAGGCGCGAAAGCGUGGGGAGCAAAC